rnacentral:rRNA from 1 species
UACGGAAGGGGCAAGCGUUGUUCGGAAUCAUUGGGCGUAAAGGGCGCGUAGGUGGUUCUGUAUGUCUACCGUGAAAGCGUACGGCUCAACCGUAUUAUGUCGGUGGAAACUGCAGGUCUUGAGGCUGGGAGGGGCUGGUGGAAUUCCCUGUGUAGCGGUGAAAUGCGUAGAGAUGGGGGAGAACACUCGUGGCGAAGGCGGCCAGCUAGACCAGUUCUGACACUGAGGCGCGACAGCGUGGGGAGCAAACAGG